rnacentral:rRNA from 1 species
CGGACGGGUGAGUAAUGUCUGGGAAACUGCCUGAUGGAGGGGGAUAACUACUGGAAACGGUAGCUAAUACCGCAUAACGUCGCAAGACCAAAGAGGGGACCUUCGGGCCUCCUGCCAUCGGAUGUGCCCAGAUGGGAUUAGCUAGUAGGUGGGGUAACGGCUCACCUAGGCGACGAUCCCUAGCUGGUCUGAGAGGAUGACCAGCCACACUGGAACUGAGACACGGUCCAG